AUGCAAGUCGACGCGAAGCACCUUCGGGUGCAAGUAGAGUGGCGGACGGGUGAGUAACGCGUGGGAAUCUGCCCAGUAGCUGGGGAUAACUCGAGGAAACUCGAGCUAAUACCGAAUACGCCCUACGGGGGAAAGGCUUCGGCCACUAUUGGAUGAGCCCGCGUCAGAUUAGCUAGUUGGUAGGGUAAUGGCCUACCAAGGCGACGAUCUGUAGCUGGUCUGAGAGGACGAACAGCCACACUGGGACUGAGACACGGCCCAGACUCCUACGGGAGGCAGCAGUGGGGAAUAUUGGACAAUGGGCGAAAGCCUGAUCCAGCAAUGCCGCGUGUGUGAAGAAGGCCUGCGGGUUGUAAAGCACUUUCAGUUGGGAAGAUUAUGACGUUACCAACAGAAGAAGCACCGGCUAACUCCGUG
rnacentral:rRNA from 1 species